UCAAGCAGAAAGGGCACAGGGCGGAUGCCUUGGCACUAAGGGCCGAAGAAAGACGUGAUAAGCUGCGAUAAGCUUCGGGGAGGAGCAAAUAUCCAUUGAUCCGGAGAUCUCUGAAUGGGGAAACCCACAUGAGGAAACCUCAUGUAUCCAUACGCCAAUCCAUAACGUAUGGAGGGGAACCCGGGGAACUGAAACAUCUAAGUACCCGGAGGAAAAGAAAGAAAACUCGAUUCCGUAAGUAGCGGCGAGCGAACGCGGAGGAGCCUAAACCAGUGUGCGUGCACGCUGGGGUUACGGACUGCAUUUAAGAUUCUGUAAAGCUAGCAGAACGGUUUUGGGAAAGCCGGCCGGAGAGGGUGAGAGCCCCGUACGCGAAAGCAGAGCAGACUGAGCAGGAUCCAGAGUACCGCGGGACACGAGAAACCCUGCGGGAAGUGAGGGGGACCACCCCCUAAGGCUAAAUACCACUUAGUGACCGAUAGCGCAUAGUACUGUGAAGGAAAGGUGAAAAGGACCCCGGGAGGGGAGUGAAAGAGAACCUGAAACCCUGUGUCUACAAGCUGUGGAAGUGCUUUAUAUGCACGACCGCGUACUUUUUGUAGAACGGUCCGGCGAGUUGCGCUUACUGGCAAGGUUAAGGUCUUAAGGACCGGAGCCGUAGGGAAACCAAGUCUUAAUAGGGCCAGAGUCAGUGAGGGCAGACCCGAAACCGGGUGAUCUAUCCAUGUCCAGGUUGAAGCUGCCGUAAGAGGCAGUGGAGGACCGAACCCACAUCCGUUGAAAAGGGUGGGGAUGAGGUGUGGAUAGGGGAGAAAUUCCAAUCGAACCCGGAGAUAGCUGGUUCUCCUCGAAAUAGCUUUAGGGCUAGCCUCGGUAGAGAUUAGCGGAGGUAGAGCACUGAAUUUCCUAGGGGGCGUCAAAGCCUACCGAAGAAUAUCAAACUCCGAAUGCCGCAGAAUUGCUUACCGGGAGUCAGACUGCACGAGAUAAGUUGGGCAGUCGAAAGGGAAAGAGCCCAGACCUUCAGUUAAGGUCCCAAAGUGCGCGUUAAGUGGAAAAGGAUGUGGGAUUUCAAAGACAACCAGGAUGUUGGCUCAGAAGCAGCCAUCCAUUCAAAGAGUGCGUAAUAGCUCACUGGUCGAGAGGUCCUGCGCCGAAAAUGUCCGGGGCUGAAACGCGCCACCGAAACUAAGGAAUCAGAAAUGAUUGGUAGAGGAGCAUUGCAUGCGGGGCGAAGCAGUACCGUAAGGAGCUGUGGACUGCAUGGAAGAGAGAAUGCCGGAAUGAGUAGCGAGAAUAAGGUGAGAAUCCUUAUGGCCGAAUAUCCAAGGUUUCCAGGGUAAAGCUGAUCUGCCCUGGGUAAGUCGGGGCCUAAGGCGAGGACGAGAGUCGUAGCCGAUGGACAACAGGUGGAGAUUCCUGUACUGCGGUAUGACAGAACUGUGGGGACACGUGCAGAGAGCGGAAGCCGGGAACGGAAAGCCCGGUGCAAGUGAGGUACCAGUCACAUUGGCAAAUCCGUGUGGCAAUGGGAAGACACGAUGCGGACCGAAUUAAAGUAGGGAAGUCCGUGAGCUGUGCGUCAAGAAAAGCCGCUAUUGUUUAUACCGUACCCGUACCGUAAACCGACACAGGUGGAUGAGGAGAGAAUCCUAAGGCCGGCGGAAGAAGCAUUGUCAAGGAACUCGGCAAAAUGACCCCGUAACUUCGGGAGAAGGGGUGCCUCAGAGAUGAGGCCGCAGAGAAUAGGCUCAAGCAACUGUUUAGCAAAAACACAGGUCUAUGCGAAACCGAAAGGUGAGGUAUAUGGGCUGACGCCUGCCCGGUGCUGGAAGGUUAAGAGGAGAGGUUAGCGCAAGCGAAGCUUUGAAUUUAAGCCCCAGUAAACGGCGGCCGUAACUAUAACGGUCCUAAGGUAGCGAAAUUCCUUGUCGGGUAAGUUCCGACCCGCACGAAAGGCGUAAUGAUUUGAGCGCUGUCUCGACAAUGCAUCCGGUGAAAUUGAAGUACCAGUGAAGAUGCUGGUUACCUGCGCCAGGACGGAAAGACCCCAUGGAGCUUUACUCCAGUUUGGUACUGGGAUCCGGUGCUGCAUGUACAGGAUAGGUGGGAGACUGAGAACACAUAACGCCAGUUGUGUGGGAGUCGCUGUUGGGAUACCACCCUUGCAGUAUUGGGUUUCUAACCAGCCGCCGUAAGCCGGCGGUGGGACAAUGCCAGACGGGGAGUUUGACUGGGGCGGUCGCCUCCGAAAGGGUAUCGGAGGCGCCCAAAGGUUCCCUCAGAAUGGACGGAAACCAUUCGCAGAGUGCAAAGGCAGAAGGGAGCUUGACUGCGACACCGACGGGUGGAGCAGGUACGAAAGUAGGGCUUAGUGAUCCGGUGGUAUUAAGUGGGAAUGCCAUCGCUCAACGGAUAAAAGCUACCCUGGGGAUAACAGGCUUAUCACUCCCAAGAGUUCACAUCGACGGAGUGGUUUGGCACCUCGAUGUCGGCUCAUCGCAUCCUGGGGCUGUAGUAGGUCCCAAGGGUU
rnacentral:rRNA from 1 species